CUAUUUCUCCUGUUGUAACAAAAAUCUACGAGUAAUAAUAAACACAUUAAGUUAUAGCCAUCACACGUUAGAAAUGCUCACACUGAAUGACGAUACAACAUGAGAUAUCACUAUAACAAUCAUAGCCAAGAUGAUGAAGAACGGCCAAUGCAACAAGAUAUAUCAUAUUUAGAGUUGGCCAAACUUCAAGGACCACUGUCAACAAAGUUACGUAGUCAUAACCAAAAUUAUGAAAAAAAUUCAUUUAAUAAAAAGUCUUUAAAAAUGUUUCAACCCGCCCCCUUC
rnacentral:lncRNA from 1 species